GCGGAGGAGCGCGGGGCGAGCGGCGGCGGGUCCCGGUGGCGGUGCCCGGGAGAGGGGAGCAGGGCGCUCCCCGGGCGGGCUCGGAGCCCCGGCCGCCGCCGCCCGCCCCGGAUCCCUCGGCUCUGCCGGGCGGGCGCUGGGGAGGUGUGUGCUGUGUACCAGCCAGCCAGCAGCCCAGGGACACCUAAGUCACCUGAGCCAGCACCAUCAAGGAACCUUCCAUGCAUGGUGAACUCCAGGCUGUAGGAAUCCUCCUCUUGGAGGCUACGGAAACAGAGUCCAAGUCCUCUCCACACCAGGAAUUCUUCCUGAAGGUUCAUCCAGAGGACUCCAUCUAUCUCUCAGCAUCCCACCUGCUGCUUUGGAGGGAAGGUCUCAAAAGCUGAACUGCUCUAAAUUCACAUGCCAAAGCAGAACCUAUUUUUCCUGAUUGUGCCCUGUGCUCAGCUAUCACUCUUGCCUGCAAUGCUGUAGAGCAGAUACUACUGUGGAAGAGCCUGGCUGAUGAGAGACACGUAGUUCCUGUUCACCUGCUUCAGCAUCAAGUGGUGUCAACUGGGAUGACUGGAGAAGCCCAUCUCUUUCCCCUGUCCUCUGGUACCAGGGAUUUGUUAGAAGGAAACCCAGGCAAUGAAGAAAGUAAGGAAGUCUCACCAGGAGCAACACCCACGUGCAGGUUGAUGAACCUUUCUGCAGCAAGAUUUGAAACAGCCAGAUUUCAGCUUGGAUCAAAGUCCCUAGGAUUCACUUGUGAUUUUCACAGCGUGGCUCCACUGCGCACGAGGAAAUUAUGCAGUGGUCAGGCUGGAGUGAGGAAGGAAGACUCUGUCCUCCUUUAUGCUCUUCGCAGAUACCUGAGCCCUGCUCCGGGUCACAGCACAGCCACGGCAGCGCACGAGCCCAGUCUGCUGAGAUGCUGUCGACACUGCCAAGGGUGAGAAUCUCCACUGUGACUCUGCUUCACGGCAUCGCAUCUGUUUGCAGUUGGCAACCUGCUCUUACAUUUUAUGGGGUUUUCCAAACCAAUGAGGCAGAUUUACUCAUCUUUCUGACUGACAGCAUUUCUGAAAGACACGCUUUCCAACCCUUCGUGGCUGGCUUCACCGGGCCCCUUGGAGAGCGGUGAGCGAUGCGGGUGUGCUCUGCUGGCUUUCCCUUCCUGCGGUGUGUGUCCAGCAGCCAGAGCUGGGAAGACAACCGAUGGUGAGGGAAGGUAGAGAACUACCAUUCCAUCCUGAACAUCCCCACUGGGCAGGCAGCUCCCCAGGAGCAGCAGCCGCCUGCUCCAGGUCUUCAGUGCAAACCUGCCCGCAAGCUGCUGUUGGAGGAGCAUCCCAGGACAGCACUUGGGAAGGUGGAGGAACAACACAGCCCCCUGUGCUGUCUGGGAAGACUGGUGGCUCUGGGACCACGGCUGAUGGAGGAUGAAGGUCUGCUGUUUUCUGGUUGGAGUAUUUUUAAUAGUCUGCAUUAUUAAAUGGAAAGCAAACUACAGGUGUGGCCAUUAAUUCUGCUGGGGAAAGGACAGCCUGCCUUCUUCAAGCAUCCAAGACCUGCUGCAGAAUAUGUGAGAACAUGUAUUUCUGUGGAAUGGUACCAGCACAGGAUGAUGCUGUGAGUGGCACUGAGCAGCGUGUGGUCCUCGGCUGGGUGAUGUCUUCUGCCCACAGCUUGUGGCCAUACCCAAGCAGGGCACGGACCGCAGCUGGCAGCCCCUUUAUGAAGCCCAGUGGUUCCAGCUCAUCCACCAUCUAUUUUGGCACCUGAGGAUCUUCCCAGCCCAUGCAAAGUGCACAGCUUUGUGGUUGAUGGUUGCCCUGCACACAGGAGAUCAGCUGUCCUGCUAUCAGUGUUCAUGCCAGGGUCUGGCCAUGCCCUCUCUGCAGUAGUUUCAGCUCUUCCCCUGCAUUCUCCUGAUACUGGAACACAAUUGCUUUCGGCGCUCUUUGUGCACAGCCGCGGGAGGAGGCGUGUUCGGAGCCCCAGCUCCCUUCCCCGGGAUGCCGAGGAGACACCACCUCCACCAUCGUGACGCCAGUUGUCUCACAAGAAGUUCCUGGCAUGGUCUCGUACAAGACAGGGUCCCCCACUGAAAUGAGGGUGAGCUGCACUACGUGGAGUGAUGGCUGAGCUUACCCAGCAUUAGGCUGUUCCAGUCUGCUGCCUCACACACAAGAAGUCCAGAAUUUGCUUUUUACCCAACCUCACUGGAGGAAGGAUGCUGAUUUAUAGAAAGUCCAGAAUAAGAUAUUGUUUCAGCUGGAAAAAAAUCUGGGAGACACACCACCAUCAAGCUGCAAGACUGAUCCACCCAAGCUCAGCCCCAGCUGGGAGUGCGAUGGCUGGUGCCUGCCCCACUGCCGGGGGGCACACAGCCCUUCUGCAAGGUCAGAAAACAGAACAAGCGUGAUCUCAUCCCCAUGCCAGUUUCUCCACAUUACAAAGUCACCGCAAGACAUGACGACACGUUCCUUCUCUGGGAGGAUGGGACUGAGGGCUUGUCUGCACUGCUUGGAAGAACAAACUGGAAAGAACAGACACGCACAAGCAAUCUCGAGGCUCUCAAGACGGAACUCGGAAAGUAUUUUGAAUUUGCACACAUGGAUAUAUACUGUGAUCAGUUCUUCAGCAUUAAUGAUGAAGGAAAACAAAUUGUGCCGAUUCUUUCAAUCAGGUUUAUAACGGAAGUGUUCCAUUAUCAAUUUAUAAUCAUUACAAUACAAAAUGAAGAUCAGCUUGAAUAACUAUUGCUUGUCUACUUUUAACACUUGUAUUUUUGCUGAGUAAUCUCUCCAUUUCACUGACAAUUCUAUUUCAGUGGAACUAUUUAUGGAAGUUUUAAAACUAAGAGCAGAAAAAUCGAGACUUCUGUGAACAGAAUUUAGGUUUAUAUUCACCACAUCAUUUUAGUGUCUGACAGCAUGAGUGUUUCAGUAGGUGCAAAGUCAACGGCUUUUAGAGUACUUGUACAGUCUGAUGAGAAUAGCAGAGAUUAGCUACAGAAGUAUUACUUUUUGGUGUAUAUUUUGUAUACAGCUUCCAUUUGGAGCCAGAGAAUUCACCAGUCCACUAUCCACUACAAAACCGGUAUUUGUGCUUUUGUAGAAAAGUUGCAGCUGUUGCAGCUAUUGCAGAAUGUUAAGUUUUAUGCAACAUGUUUAUGCAAAAAAAAAAGCCAGGGAACCACUUUUGGCUAAUCAGUAUCCCAGAUGAUAGGGUAGCAAUAGAUCUGUCAAAAAUUACUUAGAAUCUAAAUAUGUAGAAGUUCCCACACACCUUUAUUUGUCUAGCUCUAAUCUUUGCUCCUGAGUGCAUGCUUCACCAGUAAAAAGGGGAAGAAAAGGCAUUGGGCUUGUUGAAGUGAAAUGUGAGGGGCAUAGAUACAGGUUCACCUUUGAACCUGACUAUCUCACAUACUUGAACCAAAUGAAUGUUGCCUCAGCUAGUUAGAGAGCACAGACAUCACCGUUCCAAACGGUCAGGACUCCCUGAAAGGUCUAUUUAAAUAGGCCAUCUAAAUGUUAUUAUUAUAGAGUUGCAAUCGCUUUGAUGUCUACUCUGUAACUGCUCUCUCAUCUUAAAAACAGAUAUUUCUACUCCACACUUACUCUAAUGCUACAAAUAUUACAUAAGGACCUAUGCUUUAGGAACUUAGUAUUGCAAAUGGAUCUAUUAACUAUAUAUCAAGUCAUGCCGUGGGUUAUUUAGAGUAUCUGACUACCUAUCUGAAAUUUGUGUACAUUCUCUUUUUGUUUAGACAACAUUCAAUGUUAAAUUAAAAAAUUAAAUGUCCUGCCAUUACUCAUGCUUUUAACACUGACAGAUAAUUGAUAUAGCUGGUAAAAAACCUGAAUAAUUGUUUAUACACAAAGUAAAGUGAUUACUUACUGUUCAAAGAAGAAUUAUUCAAGAAAAUGAACAACACAGAUUCUAGAAAAUCCAGCCAUGAAUUAUUGAAAUGUCCCAUUAAAAUAGACUCCUGCCAAACAGAAAGAUUUAAGACAUAAAAAGUCUAUCAGAGAGAUGUGGAUUUUCUUCACUAUUGAUGUUAGUCUUUACUCAAUAUGAGUUUGAAAUACAUGAGAGAAUACACUGCUGAACUCCAUGCAAGGUAUCUGGAACCAUUCACAUUGCUCUUUUAACUAGGUUAAAUGAAACCUGAUCUGGAUUCCACUUGAUCAUAAGACUGGAAUGCUGAAAAUGCUGUAAUCUAUUUAUGCAUCAAAUUGAAGAAAUUUUGUGCGCCUUUAAAUUUCAUCACAUUCCAAUGUAGUAACUAAAUAUCGACAGUUUACAAACCGUUUCCUGUUCAAACUGAGAAAGAAAAGACAGGCCAACCUGACUUAUUUAUCCUAAAGCCAGGAUUUAUUUUCUGGCUCUUAAAUUAUGGACUAAACCCAUAGGUGCAGCACAAGAUAGUAUGGAAAAAGUAAAGGUACCCACUAUGAAGAAGAGAAUAUUGUGCUAAAGACCUGUCUGUGAAUCUGUACAAAUGUUCACCUUAGUUUUUAACAUAUCUCAAUUAAGUAAAACACAGCUCUCACUGAAGUUUAAUGGGUUUUGCCAUUGACUUGAAAGGGGUCAGGAUCAGGCUAACAACAACAGAUGAGGUUUCAUAACAUACAUUCAUUUCUAUUUGCACUUUAAAUGUGUUUCCAUGUGUGUAACAGUUUCCAUUUGUUCUCAGUUGUUGGUCAUAUUAUCUCUUCUUAUUAGUUGUUGGAUUUAGUGCCUAUUAUUUUGCAUAUAGAAGACAAUGAACACUGCAAAAACAAAAAGAGCACUUUUGGUAGGGUCAGGAAAGAGGAAAUUUCCAUGCUUUUUGUCACGUGAGACUUUAAGGAGAGCCUAAAGCUAAAUACUGCAGCUACUAUUUGCUGGUUCUCUUGAUAGUUAGUGGCCUUUAUAAAUGCAAAAAUCCUAUUUAGACAUUCAAGUAAUUAAUUUGCCCUUUUCUAUGCCUUUCUUCCCUCCAGCAGUCUGUAACCUGGAAUUUGUCUUCCAGGUCUUGCCUUCAAUAUCGUGCAGCUUGAAAUUCAAAAGGACUUGAAAUUCAGAUUACCAUUCCAUCUCAGUCUGUUUUGAGACCAUUUGUGGUAAUUUAGAUGCAUUUUAAAACCAACAAGAAUUUGCAUAAAUUUCUUACUGUCUAGCACCACUAGUUUAAAAAAAAUGGAAAAUGUACAGUUUACAGAGAAGGAGAGGAAUUUCCAAUAUUACUGUUUAUUUUAAAAUUUAAGGCAGGAUCUUGAUACAAGAGUCAGCUGAAAAGGAGAGCACUCUAACAAUACCACACUGGUAAACCUCAGUUAACAUAUGUGAAAGUUUAAUUUUUAGAAACACCUAAAUUUCUGUUCAAAUCUGAAAAGAACCUAGUGAUGAAUUAAUUGCUUAACACUUGUCCAUUUUUGUGCCAGUAUGUUACUAUUUCUAAGGCAGUAUCACGUAGCCUGACCAAAAUUUAGGUCUCAGUACUCAACACACAAAAAAAAGGCAGGCAGAGCCCUGAAGACCUGUAUCUGCAGACAAGGCACGCUGAUAGAUGGGAGAGAAAAAAACAGAGGCACAAAGAAGGAAAAAUAACUUGCACAAGGCCACACUGUCAAUAAAUACCAACUGAGGUGUAAGACUGAAGUUAAAAAACUAAUUCCCUGAACUUUUUCUACUGACUUCCACACAAACAAUUUCAAUCUGCACUCCUGACACUUGGGUAAAUGCCCUAUCUGUUAGAUCACACUGCUUCCCUGGGCUAGUUUUUAAUCUUCAGCAACAAUCACCUAACGUUAUUAAAGGCUAAGAAAAAUGAACCCAUGAACUCUAGAUACCAAUAAAUAGUCCAGCUCCCUUUGAUAAUUCCUACAGGAUUCUUUUUAAAAAACUUUUUAUUUUAAUGUUAUCGUUAGGGAUUUUCAAAAUUUUAAACUUACAUAUACACCUAUUAAUACAUCUCUUUAUCCACACAUGCAUACAUCUUUAGACGUGAGCAUGUGUGUGCCUGUGUAACCUCUGUGUUUAGGGUUUUUAAUGCACAGCUUUUAUCCUUGUCCAAAUGACAGUGGGAAAGACCACCUUUUGCCCAUUUAAAAUCAUAUGAACAAACAAACAGAACAUCUUUGUCCCAUUUUCACUGGAUACAUACAUGCAGUCAGUGUUUGAGUCUUUAUAGCUUACACUCUAGAGGGGCUUCUUUUUUGGUCUCCUAUCAUCUGUGAUAGCAUUUCUGCUUUAUGAGUCUCUGAGGCUGAGAGGUUUUGUGAAAGAUACAUGUCUUUUGAACGACCAGUGCAUGAUCCUUAAAUGCCAAAAUAUAUACAUUCACCUGCAGUCCCCAAACAGUAAAUCCACAAGUGUGGAAAGCCACUCAUAGCUCUCAUUGCUAUUGAAACUCUGUCAAGGGAUCCUCUUAGCGAAAUGUGUAAUGGCAGAAGGUGACAAAGAGAGCGCGGAAGAAUUACACAAAAUUCUGUGUCACACAACACAGGAGCACUGAAAGGGAGUCUGCUGCCCUCACCACUGCCUGCUAAAUCUGUCCUUGCCAGAUCUCGAAAAAACAGGAACACGCGCACAAACACACGGAAACCACGAGAGUUCCACACAGUUGACACUCACAGAAACUCAAACAGGAGUCAUGUGGGAAUUUCUUUUAACUAACUGUGGCAGAUGUUUUUCUUGAAGGCAAAAAAGGAACAUAUACAUGCAUGACACUUAAUAAAAAUAUCAGUAUGUUUGUGCCCAACAUACUAGAAUAUUGUUCAGCUCUAAUUCAACCUUGCAAAAAUAUUAUCAGUGUAAUGCUGCCAAGGCCAUUGUGUGGAUUAUUUGUGUAUAUCUUGGCUAACCUGCCAUGGGCUGUAGCAGUUUUUAUACUUGACUUUUCAGAAACCUUUCUGGUUUGUUAGUGAAUCAGUUUAUCUUGUUCAUUCUUGUUCCUCAUCCUUUCCCUAUUUUACCGAUUAUUAAUUUCCCUUUCUUCUUUGCUAGAUCACAUGAAAUGUCAGCCAAAUAGCCCAUUCCUUGUUACUUUUAAAGUUACAUUAAAAUAUUAAUAUAUACACAGUUCCUGAAUGGAGAGUUUAGCAAAUGACUGUUUCAAUCUGGGAUUUAGAACAUUAUAAUUUCAAAUGUUAAUUUAUUCUGAACAACAGUGACAAAUUAAUGGAUUCUAAAAGAGCAUCUUUGCUAUUUUAAGUUUCAGACCACUAAAUUAGAACUAAAUUAGAUGACCGUUUGACUAAAGCAUAUUUUCAUACACUAAAGUAAUAUAGUAGCUGCAUAAAAAUGAGAAGGAAAUAACUUUUCAUGUUGGUUUGCUGCAAUGUCAAGAAGAACAUCUGUUCUUACAGUUUAGCUUCCUACUGUUCAACAGCUUACUGGUAGUUGUCCAGUGUUGAAAAAGUGCUACCCUACCUGCUAGGGGUCUGUGUACCUAUAUGGUGGGAAAGAAUUUCAUCCCACUAAUUAUCUAUCAGUCUCUUUCCUAUAAUAAUAUAGAAAGAUGACUUGCAGGGGGAGGUCUAGUAGAGUAACUUCUUAUGUCCUGGCUCCCUGCAUCUUUCCUAAUAAUAUGCCUAUUAUUUAUCUCUGUGGGCAGUGUUUUUAAAAUGCACUCCUAUCCAGAAUGGUUUUAUUGUAUGUUGUCCUGAAUGUAUUUGAUUCAUGUGCCCAAAUGCUUUCCGUUUGAAAAUGAAAAAAAUUUUUAAAUCCAUAUAUAAAAGUUACCUCAUCUUUACUGUUA